CCUCAUUUGCAUAAAUCGGAAGAAUUCGGCGAUAAACGUAAUAAAAUAUUAACAAAAUCCGUAAAUGUCCGAACAGCUUUCCUCGCGAGAAUUCAGCGAGACCAACAUGCUACAGGUGAAAAUCGAGAGAGAAAUUCAACAUGAAAAAAGAGGUAAAACUUUAUGUUAUCUCGAUUUAUAAAAUUUGUAAAUUGCAAAAAGUUGAAAAACAAACGUUUCUUUAGCUGAAAAGUGAAAGUAGGUUUGCAGUUUCUUAUUCUGUCAAGUGCUAUUGCACUUUAAAGUGUCAAAACAGCACCUCUCGAUUUUGUAAACAUGUUUCCACGUGGAAGGGAGAAGUUGUGUCCGUAAAGAUUAACCCACAUACAUUGAUUCAGUAAACAAAAACACUCGUAAGUAGAAUUUCAUUUAUUUUUUCGAUUACCUGUCGCACAAAAUGACUAAAUAUUUUAGGGCAUAUUUGUCAAAUGCUGUUAAUAGCAUGUCCGAAAUUGAAGAGAAGAUGCAGGUGUGCUAUAGUUCGUUCCUACUUGUGGUCUACUAUGCUUGUAUAUGUAGAGUUACUCGUAUAAAAGUCAUUAUUCUUACUUAUCAAUACCCAGUGAUUUGUGAAAACAAUAGGUGUUUUUUCAAACACCAAGAGACUAAAAUUUAAUUCUAUCCGUACUCGUGUGUAUGCACAAUGAGUUCUUCCGAAUUUCCUCGACACAUGUACAUGUGUACCUGGAUAAAGUAUUAAAGGUUUGUUUACAUUUAUUUGCAGUUUUAAUAGUGUCAGCUGUUUAUAUCAAUCAUGCAGUUUUCACUAGAGCCUACUGAUCAAUAUAUGGUUGUUACUUUUGUAAUAUAAUAUCACAAAAUUUAUGAUCAGAUGAUGUCAAUGCAGUUCUCACAUACUUGUGUAUAUAUCAGGUAUGAAACUUUACAUACGCAGUUGUGGCCCGCGUGGCACAGUUUUUAGAGCAUCUCCUCUAGAGUCGGGAAAUAAGGAGUCAAUCCUUACGUCGCGAGUUCGAAUCCCACUGUGGGAAGUCCAGUCCUUCGGAUGAGACCGUAUAAAUCGAUCAGGCCCCAUGUCACUGUAGGUACUGGCACAAAAAGACCCCUUCCUGCUCAUGGGAAAAGCCCUCAGUGCCGAGCAUAGGACAAAAUUUUAAGCCCUCCACCAGCAAGUGGUGGCGUCUCCAUAUGAGUGAAAAAUUCUUGAGAGGGACAUUCUAAACAACAUACAAUCAAUUACAUAAUAUUAUGUAGUUUAUGAAAAUUUUUGUUUGUAAGAAUACAUGUAUUUAAUUUGCAUAUUGUUUAACUAUUUCAAUGUGUUAAAUGAAAAGUAAUUUUCUUUUUUGUUUGUCUAUUGCAGGUUAGAGUACAUUUUGAACAGCCAUCUCCAAGUAUGACAAAAAUAACACAAUUGACUAUAUAAGGAUAUACUCUGAAAACAGUGAUGUGCAAGUUCAAAGUUUGACUGUUCAGAUACUUUAAUAAUAAAGAAUGGGUGAAAAAAUUCUCAAAUCAUGCUGCAUAACAGUACAUUUCAGCUGUAACAAAACAAAUUAUGUGAUGAAAUCUUCAACAAUCUAGGAAAGGAUGUCAAGUCCAAAGAGAAGGCCAUAUAACAAAUGGUUGCCGAAUUCAUGAAGACUAGCUUGGAUGAUACAGUACUUUUCUACUCUUAUGAACCACAUCUAAACAUCAUUGGAGGAUCCCUUUCUCAGAAAAAAAGAAUUUGCAUAUUCAAAGACUAUAUAGUUUAUUGUUAAUUGUACAUUGUUUAACAUUCUUCUUGAGAAUUUUUCACUCAUAUGGGGAUGCCAAGUUUACAUUUGCUGGUGGAGAGCUGCAAAUUUUGUCCUUUACUUGGCACACAUGGCUAAUUGAGCAAUGAGGGAUCUUUUCGGUGCUAGCACCUACUGCAACACAGGACCUCUGUAUUUACAGUCUCGUCUCCAUGUCCGACUGUGGGAUUUUGAACCAGCAAUUUAAGGAUCAACUCCUUACUCAUGACUCUCAAGCAGACGCUCUUGCCACUGUGCCAUGCAGGUGACUUCAUAGGUUUUAAAAUAAUAAGUUAAGAUUUAUAGCUUGAAACUGAUUUUUUUAAUUCAAUCACAGUAUAGAAAAUAUUUGCAAAAAAGGGAGGUAAUAGCUACAUGUAGCUCUCACUGGUAUUGCAUGCUUAAACUAUAUGAAUUACAUAAGUCAUAUUGUAAUUACACAUGUAUUUUAAACCAGAUCAGUAAAAAAGAAAGACUUGAAUAUUUUUUACUACGAAUUUUAUUAUAAGGUUGAUUAUCUUUAAAAAAUGAAACUUUAAUUUUUUUAGAGUAGGAAAAAAAAUAUUUAGAAUGUAUAUGUGCACUUAAUUUUGUUUAUUAAAAAAAGUCAAAUUUUGGAGAUCUUGUGAAGGGUAUCUAAAUAUUGAUUUAUAAUUUUUUUACUUCAUCGAUAUAUAAAUGGUGUGCAUAUCAGUUAAAAUUAUUUUUGUUGAAUUCAGUUAACAACAACAACAAAAGUUAAUAACUGAACAUAAUUAUGUUGAUAGAUACUUUCCAGAAAUAUUUACAUGUACUAGUAGCUGCAGAUAUGUAGCUUAUGUGAAAUCAGGUAUACUUGAAAAUCAAUUUACCUGUAUUUAUUAUACAGAUAUUUAGUUAACACAUUCAUAUACAUAUGCAGUGCAGUAUUUCAUACUGAAAAUAGACUGUGUGGUAAUGUUAUAAUUAUUCAACAUAAAAAUUGAUCAGAAGUGAUCUUGAUGAAAUAAAAACAUAUAUCUCACAAUAUUUUGUUUUCUUUUUCCCCCAAUUCAUUACAAUUUAAAGGUAUAUGAAUUGAUAAAAGAAACUGACUAUACCAGUAGAGAAAUCUUGAGUUGUCUUUCCUUGUUAAAAGAAAAUGUCUGAUGCAAUGAAUGCUCCCUUGGGUUCAUGACCCUGAAUAUUAAUAAGGUUGGGA